CCCCUUCUCCUUGAAAACAUGUGAAUUUUGCUAGAGAUUAUCAAUUUAUCAUUUAUGGUAGUUUAAAAAUUUCACAUGUCCGAUUGUUCUUCUUGUUCCUCUUUUAUUAACCCACCUUCAAUUUGUGGUUGUCUAGUUGCAAGAACCACCAUGGUCCAUCUUUUGAUAAUAAUCUGAACAACAAAGUAAAGUUGUAUAUUGAAUUAUUGAUACUUGAAAGUUAACUUCUUUCUCUAGUUUGUUAGAUAGCUUUACUUUUUUUUUUUUUUCUCCUUUUAUCCCUUACUUUCACCUUUU